rnacentral:rRNA from 1 species
AUUGAACGCUGGCGGCAUGCCUUACACAUGCAAGUCGAACGGCAGCACGGGAGCUUGCUCCUGGUGGCGAGUGGCGAACGGGUGAGUAAUACAUCGGAACGUACCCUGAAGUGGGGGAUAACGUAGCGAAAGUUACGCUAAUACCGCAUAUUCUGUGAGCAGGAAAGAGGGGGAUCGCAAGACCUCUUGCUUUAGGAGCGGCCGAUGUCGGAUUAGCUAGUUGGUGAGGUAAAAGGCUUCACCAAGGCGACGAUCCGUAGCGGGUCUGAGAGGAUGAUCCGCCACACUGGGACUGAGACACGGCCCAGACUCCUACGGGAGGCAGCAGUGGGGAAUUUUGGACAAUGGCGCAAGCCUGAUCCAGCCAUGCCGCGUGAGUG